GAUGAUAAAUUAAAAGCCCUGGAGCGCUUAUAUCAGGGCCUUUAUAAUAAAAAUAAAGAUGAUGCAUUGACUCAAAAUUUAAAUGUAAAUCUCAAACCUCAUUGAGAGAGGAAAUUUCAUACAAGUUCGAAAUAAGAAGAGAAGAAACAACAACAAGCAGAAUAAACAUGUUGUUGGAGUGGCUCCUAGUGCCGAAGAUCUUCAUGUUUUGCCCAUCAAGAAAUUCUUGCAUGUCGGAAAGUUUGCAACAGAUACUAAGCCGAACGCUGUUUUAAAAUAUGUGUCCACCAUGCUUAAGGUGGAUGCUAAUUCUUUCACUUGUGUAAAACUUGUAAAAAAAAUUGUUGACGUUACAACUUUAAAGUUUGCAAAAUUUCAAGCUUGGUAUCCCCGAUCAGCUUUACGAUUCAGUCUUCAAAAACGAUUACUGGCCGGACUCAGUUAAGGUCAAAAGACUUAAUCAUAGAGAACGGGCCCUUGUGGUAGUGGAUGGAAUCAUAUCCCAUUUGCCGGAGCCUUCAACAUUAAGUCAUACAUCAAAAUACCCCUACUGUUCGAAGCCAAUGGCGUCGAUACUUUUUCGGGACAUCUUCUGCAAGCCUUUCCUCAUUUGUCGGAGGCGUUUUCGCAACAACAUCGGCAGCUGCCUGCCUUUCUGACUGCGCUCUCAUCAUCUUUUAUCUCUCUCCUGACGCUCCAUUAACAACAUCGGUCGGAGCUUUUAUUGUCCGCUUUGUGCGACAUUCGCCUGGCUCUAAUAUCGGCGCGCUUCUCGGAGUUGCGCUUACAUCAUUUUCCGUCGCUCUCCUGACGCUCCAUUAACAACAUCAGCCGGAGCUUUUAGUGUCCGCUUUGUGCGACAUUCGCCUGGCUCUAAUAUCGGCGCGCUUCUCGGAGUUGCGCUUACAUCAUUUUCCGUCUCUCUCCUGACGCUCCAUCAACAACAUCAGCCGUAGCUUUUGUUGUCCGCUUUGUGCGACAUUCGCCUGGCUCUAAUAUCGACGCGCUCCUCGGAGUUGCGCUUACAUCAUUUUCCGUCGCUCUCCUGACGCUCCAUCAACAAAUUCAGCCGGAGCUUUUGUUGUCCGCUUUGCGCGACAUUCGCCGUCCUCCUGGCCCUAAUAUUGGCGCGCUCCUCGGAGUUGUGCUUACAUCAUUUUCCGUCGCUCUCCCGAAGUACCUAGAACAUCUGCUGUAUUCUUACUCAUCAUCGCCUAAUAUAUAUGCGCUCUCCCUCUCUACCGUUUCGACGUUCGACUUUCUACAACAACUUUUAUCGACACAUUUGGCUGGAUGGCGAGCCUCUCAGAGUGCUCUCCGGAGAUGCUCUCGCCAUCAACAACAACAAUGGACUGCGGCAGCUGUAGAACCUUCUCUCACAUUAUUAUCAGGAGUGGAUACACCUGCGUGCAGUUAUAUUUUGAAUGCUAAUAUUGACUGCGCACCAAGUACUUGGAGCGACGAUCACCAGCAAAUUCGAAUUCGUACUACUACUUUACUGUGGGUUCUUACAAAUUAUUUUAGUAAUUAUGAUAGAAUCCCAGCGAUUCCCCUUACGCUUUCGGGUCAGACUGUGGGCUACUCGACCCAAGUAUUUUAAGUGCUUCUGAAAAUUUGGAGCGAGUAUUAGCAGGUCGUCCAAGUAUACGAAGACGUUGGAUCUAAGCUCCGCUGGUAUCACCCGAUCCAUGAGCCGCACCAAGCGUUGGGCCGCGUUUCAAAGCCCGAAUGGCAUCAUUUGAAACUGGUACAACGGCCUGCUUGGAACCGUGAACGCAGUGUACUCCUUGCUUCUGUCGUCCAGUUCAAUCUGCCAAAACGCAAACUUGAGGUCAACUCCAGAGAUAUAAUGCGUCUGAGAGAGAUUCCUUUCAAUACUGGGCAGAGGGUAGCAUCCUUAAUGGUCAAUGCGUUUAACUUCCGGGCAUCCAGCCAGAACCUGUCUUUCUCUAGCUUCGACACUACUGUUGUGCGAUUGCUCCACGGGCUUUUGGUCUAGGCAGCUCCAAGCGCCCGAUAACGGAUCGAUCCUCGCCAGAAGCCGUCCGGACUACGGAAAAAUGCGGUUGGACGGUAACUCCCAGCGUUUCCACGAGCUCUCGACAGCCUUUGCCCAGUACACUUACGCUGGCCCCUGUGUCCAACAAGCCGGUGCGGUGCUUGCCCAAGGUCUUCACGUCGGCGAAGGAAUCGGCGGAAUCUAUGCGUUUCACGGCCGCCACCACCUCUCAUCGACUGGAUCUCCUUAUCCUGAAGCGCUCCUUUGCUUUCUGGACUCUCCGUGAGACUAGACGCAUGCCGUUCAGCUGAUGUUCCGGAAAGAUCCUGUUCCGUGCCUCCAUAUAACGGCGAAU